CCUACGGGAGGCAGCAGUAGGGAAUCUUCCACAAUGGGCGCAAGCCUGAUGGAGCAACACCGCGUGAGUGAAGAAGGGUUUCGGCUUGUAAAACUCUGUUGUUGGAGAAGAACGUGCGUGAGAGUAUCUGUUCACGCAGUGACGGUAUCCAACCAGAAAGGCACGGCUAACUACGUGCCAGCAGCCGCGGUAAUACGUAGGUGGCAAGCGUUAUCCGGAUUUAUUGGGCGUAAAGCGAGCGCAGGCGGUUGCUUAGGUCUGAUGUGAAAGCCUUGGGCUUAACCUAAGAAGUGCAUCGGAAACCGGGCGGCUUGAGUGCAGAAGAGGAUAGUGGAACUCCAGGUGUAGCGGUGGAAUGCGUAGAUAUAUGGAGGAACACCAGUGGCGAAGGCGGCUGUCUGGUCUGCAACUGACGCUGAGGCUCGAAAGCAUGGGGAGCGAACAGGAUUAGAUACCCUAGUAGUC
rnacentral:rRNA from 1 species